AUGUAUACUGGUAUUCUUGAUGAAAGUUUCUCCUUAAACACUGUCUGUCAUUGCCUCUGCACAGGCUCCGCCCUCCAAGGCAAUCCAUGCUCGCCCAUAGGAUUUGUCAGAGAGCCCUCAAUCCAAACGUCCUUCCUGGUUCCAGCAGGAUUCCUUGUGCCCAUUAGGGAAACCAGAAGGAUUGUCCCUGUUUAUUUGCUAUCAGAGAGGCCUUUGAACUCCAGGAAAGCUGCCAUCUUGUUUUUGCUCACUCCUCGUAUGCUUAGUGUCUGCAGCAUGAAACACUGGUUUUGCUGGAAGUCUUCUUUCCAAAGAAAUCCAUGUACCAGGCCAGUGUUCCUGCAUGCUAUGAAGAUCCCAAAUGAUACUAGCUGUCUUCGUGGGAACUGGUACAAAGGAUCAGAACUUGAAUGUAGAUUAUUCAUAAGACAGAUAUCAUGUUAA
rnacentral:lncRNA from 1 species